rnacentral:rRNA from 1 species
UACCAGCACCCCGAGUGGUCGGGACGAUUAUUGGGCCUAAAGCGUCCGUAGCUGGCUUGUUAGAUGCCUGGGUAAAUCGAUGCGCUCAACGUAUCGAAUUCCGGGUAGACCGGCAAGCUCGAGACCGGGAGAGGUGUAGGCUACUCGAGGGGUAGGGGUAAAAUCCUGUAAUCCUUCGGGGAGGACCAGUGGCGAAGGCGCUACACUAGAACGGCUCUGACAGUGAGGGACGAAGCCCUGGGGCGCAAACCGG